GAAACUUGGUCAUUUUUUUAAAUAGUCUAGGGAGCUAUCAUAAAAGUGUGGGUUAUUUUUUCUACAUUAUGAAAUCUUAUUUUACUGAAGUGAAUCAUAAUUCUGACUAUUAUCAUUGGAUAUAACAACCCUACAAAUGUUAUUAGAGCUUCUAAUCCACACAGCUAUCCAGUGGACAAUAAGAGCCCAACAUAAUCUUACACCAUUUGGAACAGCUUCCCAAAGUUCUCGGUAUAUAAGAAGCACACCUGAAGGUGCAAUAUUGCCACCAAUAUCAAAUGAAUUUUCUUUGGAAACAUGUUCAACCACAAACGUGGACGGUGCGCCAAAAGCAUGGUGGAUGUUUCAAUUUUCCUUUGCGUCUGCAUUCAUCAUGGAUAUAACUAUAUACUACAGAAAAGGUUCUGCUUAUCGUAUGAAUGGAUUUAAGGUAUAUGUGACCAAUUCAUCAACUAUUCCACCUGUUGGAUAUCUGUGUUAUGAAGAUCCUGAUCUUGGUCUCCCAAAUAUCACUCAGAAUAUUCCCUGUAAUCAACUAGGAAAAUACGUCAUUUAUUACGACACUAUAGGAGAUUCCGCCACCGGUCCUGUAAUUGAAUUGUGUUACGUUGCAAUUAAUGGUUGUAAAAAAGGUAUGUGGGGGCCAAAUUGUACCGAAGCAUGUUCAUCUAUAUGUGUUAACCAACACUGUCAUCCGGAAAAUGGGUCCUGUAUUUGGGGGUGUGAUCCCCAAAGAUGUCUUAAUGGAAGAUGUGAUACACAUACGGGAGCUUGUAUUGACGGAUGUGUAACAGGAUGGGUCGGACAAUACUGUACCUGUGGCAAAUGUAUGUAUGUUUCUUAGUAUGAUUCCUAAUAUCAUUUUAAAAUUUUGUAACGUUGAUAAUGUUAAAUCUUGAAUAAAUGAUUCUUAUAAAUGGUGUUUGUGAACAUUUGAUUUAGCACAUAGUGUAACGGGCAAUUCCAACUGUAAGUGAUAUUUAUACUUCUUUUAUUUGUAAUUUGUUUUACCUGCAAUUAACGUCUAAGUUUACAAGAUUGCAAAAUAGUACAUACUGUUUGGACAUUUCAAUACAAAUUCUAGUUUCAAAAGUAAAGGUGCAAUUGCAAAAUUGUCAAGUUGUAUUUACAUAAUUAUAUGCUUUGUAAACUAUGUUGUAUAGUAAAACAACAUUGUAUGUUAAGUAUUGGUGUUGGUUGGUGGUGGUUUGGCCGACGUGUACCUUCAAUAUUAUGUGAUGUACAAAUUCAUUAUAUUUCUAAUGCUUUACAGCUUAUUCAUUAACACAUAUUUGAUGUUUUGAUGUAUUAAUAUGAAAUCAUAAUUCUAAUACGUGAAAAAAUGAUUAGGGCUUGAUGAAAUAUUAUUUUUACGUAGAUGUCAUUUCUCUGAAGUUAACACAUAUUCACUUUACAUUUUGUUUGCGUAUUAUUAUCAACGUUCAUUUCAUGAAGAUAACAAAAGUUCUGCGUGUCCUGUCAGUUCCAGUAUCUUUUACUUUUAAUCUUACUGAAAAUGAUUUUUGAGUUAACGGAUUUGAAAACACAUAAUUAUAUGUAUGCCUUUAUAAUAUCAUAAGUUGUGCUUUUAUUACUAGUAAAAUUAAAAUAAAACUAUAUUUGUGAAAGGAAACUUGAUUUGAAUCCAUAUUGCUGUGCAGUCUUAACUUAUUAGUGUAAUUGCAUCAGUGAUAAAAUUAUUGCAACCGUUGCAGCGUCCUAUGCCAAAACAGUAUACAUUUUUGUGUUUUCUCGUGAUAUACUAUCAAAGUUGUUUGAAUAUUACUGCUUUCUGUUUAAUUUUCUCACUAAUUUCAUAUUUGCAUAUUGGACCAUAUACUCGAGUUUGGUCAAAUUUAUAAUGGCAAUGGUGAAGGUAUAAAAGAGACAACAACCCGACAAAAGGACAAAAUACAGGCAAAGGUCACCAAUGGGUCUUCAAAAUAGCGAGAAAAUGCUGCACCCGGAGGAGAGCACAAGCUGGUAUUUUCUACAACUCUUAUGUUUAAAGCUGGUAAAAAGUGAAAACAACUGUACAAUGACCAGUGCUCCAUUAUAAUGAAACGAUACACUGGACGAAUUUCAACUUGAGGACCAAGUUAAUAAUGUAAUUGAACGUAACUAGCUGAAGGAUUAUCCGUUCAGCGCUGAUGUCGAAAACGUUAAAUAUUUGUCAUAUUAUAACAGCCUUACACGUUCAGUAAAUAUUUGAAGAGCCUACCAAACAACGUCAUUGAUUUUAUAUCAGCAAACUAUACUAUUUAAAAAAUAUCCUUGUUUAUAUUAGUUUAAGGUGGUACCUAACACUACAGGGAGAUAACUCUGUAAAAUCAGCUAAACGUUUUAAUUACGUUGUGUUGUACAGGGAAUAUUAAGCUUCUCAGCGAUCAAAAUUGGUGUUUGUCAAACUGCUAUAUAACCAGUGUAAUUUUUCUGAUAAAAUGGUUGGUUCAAAAUUUGUGAAAUUUUUAUAUUUUUGCUAAAGGGUCUAAGUAAAUACUUUGUCAAAAUUUUAGGAAAAUUAAACGAGCCAAAUUAAUUUUAGUGAAAGUGUUGGGUACCACCUUAAUAUAUUAUUACGUUAAUGUAAAUGUACAUGUAUAUGUUUUCUUUUGAACUAUUGUAUGAACGAUAUAUGUUUGCCUUGACAAUGGUUAUUGAGCCACAUAUCCAAUGUAUUAGAACGGGUCAACAUCGGUUUGAGUUUACUGUACAAAAAUUAAAAUAAUGGUAAUCAAUC